UCGCCCACUCCGGUUCUUCUUACUUUUUCCUUAUCUCCGCAAAUUCGAGGACUAUAAGUCGCUACUUUUUCCCUACGCCUCGUACCCUGCGGCUUGUAAAACGGUGCGGCUAAUUUAUAGAUUUUUCUUCACUAACGGCCAUAAUGCAGUUUUCAUAAAACACAUGCAAAUACACUGAAAUGGUGUGUUAUUGUUUGUGCUACGGCGCCAUCUUUUGGACGAGUUCGGUCACUGCAGGUGCUUACUGGGUGAAUACGUUUCCUGCAGUUUAAAGCUUUGAACCGGAAGUAGAAGUGCCGUUGAGUUUUCUAAUCCUCCACAGCGUUUCCACUCAUAUGGAUUCUUCAAUCAUCACUCCAAGCAACAUUUUUCCACAAAUUCACCAAAAACGCCACAGUGGAGUUAUUGAGCCUGUUUAGCUGAUUGGAGAGCUAACUUCCACAGCUAGUGGGUCUAUGACGACAACUUCUACAGACACCGUUUGGAAACAAUUAAGGUCUCGCUUCCCCACGCUCUGCAAGCUCCAAAAUAUCUAGCGGCAACUCCGCAAAAAGUACGGGUUUGCAAAGACUUCCUGGUUUCAGACGCAAGCAAUGAUUGGAUUACGUUCACGGACAGACGUCAUGCUCCUGGGCUCCUGACAACGUCACGCCCUGGGUGGAAAAGUGCUUAUCUUAAAGGACGUGGGAUUUAAUUAAAAAUGACAUUUCCCCGAAGACGUCAGCUUCUGAGGACGCCGCGGUGAAAUUAGCUGAUGAGGGGAGUCCUCCGAGCGUGUGAAACAAGGAACCUGUCAAC